GCCUGAUAAUAGGUACGUCAUUGUCAACUUACAUCACUUUGUUUUGGUUUUAUUACGAAAAAUGUUUCUGACGGUCCUAAGCCCGUAAAAGUAUGAAGGAAGAAUUGGAAUUAAGUGUUACAAGUUAAGUAAGAGUGCAAGUUUACAAACUGCUACAUAAUGAGAACAUUAAGAUUGCAAUAAAACUUAUUUUGCGCUAGGGUGAAUGAACUUUGAUAAAGACGCCGCGCCGCGCCGCGCCGCUCCAUUGAUAAAGACUCGGGCCGCGCUCACUACAGGGUGUUUUUAUAAUCUAUGUCAUGCGUCAUAAUAAUGAAUUUAUUUUUAUUUUUGAAUUAUUCAAAUGUCAUAAAUAUAUAUAUUUUCUUAAUGAACGUGUUCUAGUCAUUGGAUACAUGAAGUGGGCUGCCGUUGUAAGACGACUAAAAUGUCACGGUGUAUAAUAAUGCAGUUCAUAAUAUUAUGUUUUCAAAGUACUACAAAUGUGGGAUUGAAAUCGAGUCAGGUUGGUUAAAAUACAAUUUUGUGUGUAGGUACCUAGUAUAAUAAAACCAAUUACAUAUAAUAUAUAAUUUGUGUGCUGUGACUAGUCUUAGAUAGAACAUUAUUACAAGCAUAUUUUUGUCAGUCAAAGGAAUAUAGUAGUUAUAUUUGUAAGCACAAGAUUCAUAUUUCUUUGGCUGCGAAAAUGUUGCUGUUAGUUCUAAUUUCAUAGAAUAAUGUAAAUUACAUUCAAUGCUAUUUGUGUUAAAUAUCCCAAAUAUUAUCAUACUAGCUGUUGCCCGCAACUUCGUCUGCGUGCGCAAUAUAGAAUUUCCAAUUUCGUUAAUUUAAUCGUUCAUUGCUCAUCCCCCGUAGGUGAUAGCGUGAUAAUAUAUAGCCUAUGUGUUGAACCGGCCCCCAGGUAAUAGUCAUGCAAAAUUUGAUUUAAAUCUAUGCAGUACUUUUUGAGUUUAUCCGGGACAAACAUACAGACAAACAGAUAAACAGACAUACAGACAAAAAUUCUAAAAACUACAUAUUUGGGUUCAGAAUCGAUUAUGGAUCACCCCCCAAGUAUUCUUUAAAAAAAAUAUUCAAUGUACAGUUUUGACUUUCCUAUCAUUUUAUUAUAUGUAUAGAUUUGCAAGAUUGAUAAUUGAUUUUGUAUAAAUCUGGCAAAUAGAUUAUCCUCCGAGCCUUUUUUCCCAACUAUGUUGGGGUCGACUUCCAGUCUAACCGGACUCAGCUGAGUACCAGUGCUUUACAAGAAGCGACUGCCUGUCUGACCUCCUUAACCCCCAACCUCUUGGUUAGACUGGUGUCAGACUUACUGGCAAAGAGAUAAGUCCUUAAUAAAUUGAAAAAACAUUCAUAUGGUUAGCGAGGUUUCAGAACCUUGUUUUCUGAACUACGUAGUAGGUAUUAACAUAAAGAACGGGUUAUAAAACUAUUUAUAAUUUAUAGUAGUAGUUUUUAUUUUUCCGUUUCUCUCAUGUAGUUAGUUAAAGACGUCAGUUUCAUCCAGGCGCCCAGUUUUCACUGUAUUUUUUUUUUCUGAAUUGAACAUUGAUUAAGGGUCUGUUCACACAGACCGGCUCGGACAGCAUCAGCGAGCAAUUUUCUUUUCUCACAGACUGAAAUCGGCUCCGAUCGGCUGCGUGAGAUGCAAUCGGAGCCAAACGUCUGCAAGACCGAGAAAAAUUACGCGAUCGGAGCCGGUCGGCUCCUCUUAUUAUUUCACACCGAACGCAUUCGAGCAUUCUUAAUGACAAAAGCAGUGCGCAUGGAAAAAUAAACCUCACUACAAAUACUAAGUACUCGAUUUUCAACGUGUUAAGAAUUUGCUCUUCUCUCCGAGUCGGUCUGUCUGAACGGACCCUUAACGUCUAUAAUAGUUUGACAGUGCAAAACGUCAAAUCGAACAUGAAAGUUCACAGUUGGCGCCCAUUUCACCCUGGCGCCUUGGGUGCCAAAUUUGUAAUUUUUUUUUUUCCUUUAGCUAAAUUUAACAUCAUUUGAUUGCAUUUAGAAAUAGGUCGCAAAGCGUACCAAAUUGUUUCAUGUACAUUGUGUAUAGUUCUGUUAUUUAUGUUAAAUAAAAUUAUCUUGCCAUU